GAUGAACGCUGGCGGCGUGCCUAAUACAUGCAAGUCGAGCGAACGGACGAGAAGCUUGCUUCUCUGAUGUUAGCGGCGGACGGGUGAGUAACACGUGGAUAACCUACCUAUAAGACUGGGAUAACUUCGGGAAACCGGAGCUAAUACCGGAUAAUAUUUUGAACCGCAUGGUUCAAAAGUGAAAGACGGUCUUGCUGCCACUUAUAGAUGGAUCCGCGCUGCAUUAGCUAGUUGGUAAGGUAACGGCUUACCAAGGCAACGAUGCAUAGCCGACCUGAGAGGGUGAUCGGCCACACUGGAACUGAGACACGGUCCAGACUCCUACGGGAGGCAGCAGUAGGGAAUCUUCCGCAAUGGGCGAAAGCCUGACGGGGCAACGCCGCGUGAGUGAUGAAGGUCUUCGGAUCGUAAAACUCUGUUAUUAGGGAAGAACAUAUGUGUAAGUAACUGUGCACAUCUUGACGGUACCUAAUCAGAAAGCCACGGCUAACUACGUG
rnacentral:rRNA from 1 species